UACGAAGGGUGCAAACGUUGCUCGGAAUUAUUGGGCGUAAAGCGCACGUAGGCGGCUUAGCAAGUCGGAAGUGAAAUCCCUCGGCUCAACCAAGGAAGUGCUUUCGAAACUGCUGAGCUUGAGUACUAAAGAGGAUCGCGGAAUUCCCGGUGUAGAGGUGAAAUUCGUAGAUAUUGGGAAGAACACCGGUGGCGAAGGCGGCUCACUGGCUCAUUUCUGACGCUCAGGCGCGACAGCGUGGGGAUCAAACAGG
rnacentral:rRNA from 1 species